GAUGAACGCUGGCGGCGUGCCUAAUACAUGCAAGUCGAGCGAACAGACGAGGAGCUUGCUCCUCUGACGUUAGCGGCGGACGGGUGAGUAACACGUGGAUAACCUACCUAUAAGACUGGGAUAACUUCGGGAAACCGGAGCUAAUACCGGAUAAUAUAUUGAACCGCAUGGUUCAAUAGUGAAAGACGGUUUUGCUGUCACUUAUAGAUGGAUCCGCGCCGCAUUAGCUAGUUGGUAAGGUAACGGCUUACCAAGGCAACGAUGCGUAGCCGACCUGAGAGGGUGAUCGGCCACACUGGAACUGAGACACGGUCCAGACUCCUACGGGAGGCAGCAGUAGGGAAUCUUCCGCAAUGGGCGAAAGCCUGACGUAGCAACGCCGCGUGAGUGAUGAAGGUCUUCGGAUCGUAAAACUCUGUUAUUAGGGAAGAACGAAUGUGUAAGUAACUAUGCACGUCUUGACGGUACCUAAUCAGAAAGCCACGGCUAACUACGUG
rnacentral:rRNA from 1 species